rnacentral:lncRNA from 1 species
GUUUUCUACGGUUUAAAAUGGAAUUUAGAAUUAAAUUAUAAGAAAUGACUGUAAUAUUUUUUUCUGUCUAUUCGAAAUAACAUAAAAAAAUGUGGUGCACACUGUUAGAUCAGUGGCGGAUCCAGAAAUUUUCAUAAGUGGGGGCCCACUGACUGACCUAAGAGGGGGCCCGCUCCAGUCACGCUUCAGUGAUUCCCUAUAUAAGCAACCAAUUUUUUUCCCAAAAAGGGGGGGCCCGGGCCCCCUGGGCCCCCCCCUAAAUCCGCCUCUGUAGAUAACCCGCUACGCGCGUUAUUCAGUGUGCACCAAAUUUUUUAUGUUAUUUCUUCAUAGACAGAAAAAAUAUUACAGUCAUUCCUUAAAUAA